CCUACGGGAGGCAGCAGUGAGGAAUAUUGGUCAAUGGCCGGAAGGCUGAACCAGCCAAGCCGCGUGAAGGACGAAGGUGCCAAGCAUUGUAAACUUCUUUUGUCAAGGGACAAAAUCAGGCUCGAGAGCCUGACCGAGGGUACUUGAAGAAAAAGCAUCGGCUAACUCCGUGCCAGCAGCCGCGGUAAUACGGAGGAUGCGAGCGUUAUCCGGAUUUAUUGGGUUUAAAGGGUGCGUAGGUGGUUAAUUAAGUCAGCGGUGAAAGUUUGUGGCUCAACCAUAAAAUUGCCGUUGAAACUGGUUGACUUGAUUAUAUUUGAGGUAGGCGGAAUGCGUGGUGUAGCGGUGAAAUGCUUAGAUAUCACGAAGAACUCCGAUUGCGAAGGCAGUUCACUGGACUGCAACUGACACUGAGGCUCGAAAGUGUGGGUAUCAAACAGGAUUAGAUACCCUUGUAGUC
rnacentral:rRNA from 1 species